CCUACGGGAGGCAGCAGUGGGGAAUAUUGGGCAAUGGGCGCAAGCCUGACCCAGCAACGCCGCGUGAGGGAUGAAGGCCUUCGGGUUGUAAACCUCUUUUGUCAGGGACGAAGAACGUGACGGUACCUGCCGAAUAAGCCUCGGCUAACUACGUGCCAGCAGCCGCGGUACUACGUAGGGGGCAAGCGUUAUCCGGAUUUACUGGGUGUAAAGGGGGCGUAGGCGGGUUUGCAAGUCAGUAGUGUAAUCCAGGGGCUCAACCUGGGGCCUGCAUUUGAAACUGGAGGGCUUGAGUGCAGGAGAGGCAGACGGAAUUCCUAGUGUAGCGGUGAAAUGCGUAGAUAUUAGGAGGAACACCAGUGGCGAAGGCGGUUUGCUGGACUGCAACUGACACUGAGGCACGAAAGCGUGGGGAGCAAACAGGAUUAGAUACCCGUGUAGUC
rnacentral:rRNA from 1 species